GAUGAACGCUGGCGGCGUGCCUAAUACAUGCAAGUCGAGCGAACAGACGAGGAGCUUGCUCCUCUGACGUUAGCGGCGGACGGGUGAGUAACACGUGGAUAACCCACCUAUAAGACUGGGAUAACUUCGGGAAACCGGAGCUAAUACCGGAUAAUAUAUUGAACCGCAUGGUUCAAUAGUGAAAGACGGUUUUGUUGUCACUUAUAGAUGGAUCCGCGCCGUAUUAGCUAGUUGGUAAGGUAACGGCUUACCAAGGCAACGAUGCGUAGCCGACCUGAGAGGGUGGUCGGCCACACUGGAACUGAGACACGGUCCAGACUCCUACGGGAGGGAGCAGUAGGGAAUCUGCCGCAAUGGGCGAAAGCCUGACGGAGCAACGCCGCGUGAGUGAUGAAGGUCUUCGGAUCGUAAAACUCUGUUAUGAGGGAAGAACAAAUGUGUAAGUAACUAUGCACGUCUUGACGGUACCUAAUCAAAAAGCCACGGCUAACUACGUG
rnacentral:rRNA from 1 species